rnacentral:lncRNA from 1 species
GAAAAUGGGAAGCAAGGAAGUCAUGAAGAAGAAGAAGAAGAAAAACCUUAUGGAAAGCAACAGUCGUCCAAACACUCAAGUGAACGGCGGUUGACGGAGGUUAAAUUUCAGCAGUCUUGGCUCCGACGACUAGCAAGGAGGUGAGAGAGCCUACGGUACAAAUGUGGCGGCCACCGGAAAAGAGUACAAGACAACAACGAUCUUAAGUCUUAACAGGCAGCGUUCUCCGGUGGGUUUUGAGAAGUAGCUUUUCGACGGCCAGGAUAAACUUUGGAUUCUUUGUUCACUUUUUCAGUUUAAUUUCUUAAGCUUAAACCUAGGUUAAAUUGUUGUAAAUUUGAUUAGAUUUUGGGGUUUUUAUAAUUUUUAAUAGAUAUUAAGUUUCCUUAAUCCUUAUUUUAUAAAUUCCUAAAAAACAAGGAUUCUUUUGAUUUUGUUAUUAUCUUCCAAAAAUUUAGUUAACAGUUUCCUAAUGAUUUGGAAACCAGGGGGCAAAGAGGCAAUUCUGUGGUAUUUUUUUCAACUUGAAUGUGUAUAUACAUAAAUUAGGACAACCAAAAGUAGGGGGGGGUGAUGGCCUCUUCUGGCCCUUAUGAGGGUCCGCCACUGCUUGCCAAAAUACAAGAAAAAAGUUGAUAGAUUUGAUUGCGAUCUUGCAAUUAAAAAUUAUAGGGUGAAUGAUGUCGAUUUUGAUCCGCGUAAUUCAUUUUACUUUUAGUUAUCUAUUUUAGUAUUUUAUAAUUUUGAUAUUUAUCUAUUAAUAGUGUGUCUUUGUUUAAAAAAUUGUAGCUAGUUGGUGGGGACUAUUUGGUGCCACAACUCCUCAUUUGAAAGAUUGUAAUGAGGAUUCUUUCUUUGAUUAGUAGUUCAUCAGGUUGUGAAAGGAAUUGGAACAAGUUUGAAGGGAUUAGUAAUAUAAA